AAAAUGCGAAAAGUAAUGUGAAUUGCAGAAUUCAGUGAACCAUCGAAUCUUUGAACGCACAUUGCGCCCCCUGGCAUUCCGGGGGGCAUGCCUGUUCGAGCGUCAUCAACACCCCUCAAGCCCCGCUUGCUGUUGGGCGUCCGUCCCCCCGGGAGUUCCGGGGGGGACCCGCCUGAAAAUCGGUGACGGCCGGCCCGGCCCCGAAGCGCAGUAGGACACCUUCGUCGUUCGCUUCCGGGGGCCCGUGGACCCGCGCCGGUCAACAGGCCGCCCCGCGCGGCCGCUGGUAUCUUUCGACCAUUGACCUCGGAUCAGGUAGGAAUACCCGCUGAACUUAA
rnacentral:misc_RNA from 1 species